rnacentral:tRNA from 1 species
GGGAAUAUAGCACAAUUGGUCAGUGCACUCGCCCGAUAAGCGAGAUGUUACGUGUUCGAGUCACGUUAUUCCCA